rnacentral:rRNA from 1 species
GGGUUGUGAGAGCAAGAGCCCCGGAGAUGGAUUCUGAGACACGAAUCCAGGCCUUACGGGGUGCAGCAGGCGCGAAAACUUUACAAUGCGGGAAACCGUGAUAAGGGAAUCUCGAGUGCCAGCAUAUAAUGUUGGCUGUCCAGAUGCCUAAAAGACAUCUGUUAGCAAGGNCCGGGCAAGACCGGUGCCAGCCGCCGCGGUAACACCGGCGGCCCGAGUGGUAACCGCUUUUAUUGGGUCUAAAGGGUCUGUAGCCGGCCAAGUAAGUCCCUUGGGAAAUCUGGCAGCUAAACUGUCAGGCUGCAGGGGAUACUGCUAGGCUUGGGACCGGGAGAGGUGAGAGGUACCUUGGGGGUAGGGGUGAAAUCUUGUGAUCCUCGGGGGACCACCAGUGGCGAAGGCGUCUCACCAGAACGGGUCCGACGGUAAGGGACGAAAGCUAGGGGCACGAACCGGAUUAGAUACCGGGGUAGUCCUAGCCGUAAACGAUGCUCGCUAGGUGUCAGUCACGGUGCGACCGUGAUUGGUGCCGUAGGGAACCCGUGAAGCGAGCCACCUGGGGAGUAUGGCCGCAAGGCUGAAACUUAAAGGAAUUGGCGGGGGAGCACUACAACGGGUGGAGCCUGCGGUUUAAUUGGAUUCAACGCCGGG